rnacentral:rRNA from 1 species
UGGGGAAUAUUGGACAAUGGGCGAAAGCCUGAUCCAGCAAUGCCGCGUGAGUGAAGAAGGCCUUAGGGUUGUAAAGCUCUUUUACCCGGGAAGAUAAUGACUGUACCGGGAGAAUAAGCCCCGGCUAACUCCGUGCCAGCAGCCGCGGUAAUACGGAGGGGGCUAGCGUUGUUCGGAAUUACUGGGCGUAAAGCGUACGUAGGCGGUUUUUCAAGUCAGAGGUGAAAGCCCGGGGCUCAACUCCGGAAUUGCCUUUGAAACUGGGAGACUUGAACACGGGAGAGGUGAGUGGAAUUCCGAGUGUAGAGGUGAAAUUCGUAGAUAUUCGGAGGAACACCAGUGGCGAAGGCGGCUCACUGGACCGUAGUUGACGCUGAGGUACGAAAGCGUGGGGAGCAAACA